rnacentral:siRNA from 1 species
UUUAGAAUUGACUGGUUUGGGUU